AUACUUACAUGGCAGNGAGAUAUACCAUGAUCAGGAAUGUGCUUUUCCCAGGCCAAUGCUUAUCCACUAUAUUCCAGAAGUGCUGACCCCUACAAUUUCCCUAAAUGGAGGAAACUUGACUGUAUAAUUUGUGGUAGUAGGGACUACAUUUGAGCUCUCUCAU
rfam:Neotoma lepida isolate 417 scaffold_2385, whole genome shotgun sequence.